GUGGGGAAUAUUGGACAAUGGGCGAAAGCCUGAUCCAGCCAUGCCGCGUGUGUGAAGAAGGUCUUCGGAUUGUAAAGCACUUUAAGUUGGGAGGAAGGGCAGUAAGUUAAUACCUUGCUGUUUUGACGUUACCGACAGAAUAAGCACCGGCUAACUUCGUGCCAGCAGCCGCGGUAAUACGAAGGGUGCAAGCGUUAAUCGGAAUUACUGGGCGUAAAGCGCGCGUAGGUGGUUUUGUAAGUUGGAGGUGAAAUCCCCGGGCUCAACCUGGGAACUGCCUCCAAAACUGCAUGACUAGAGUACGGUAGAGGGUAGUGGAAUUUCCUGUGUAGCGGUGAAAUGCGUAGAUAUAGGAAGGAACACCAGUGGCGAAGGCGACCACCUGGACUGAUACUGACACUGAGGUGCGAAAGCGUGGGGAGCAAACAGGAUUAGAAACUCUUGUAGUCC
rnacentral:rRNA from 1 species